AUUGAACGCUGGCGGCAUGCUUUACACAUGCAAGUCGAGCGGCAGCGCGGGGCAACCUGGCGGCGAGCGGCGAACGGGUGAGUAAUGCAUCGGAACGUAUCCCGAAGUGGGGGAUAACGCAGCGAAAGUUGCGCUAAUACCGCAUAAGCUCUGAGGAGGAAAGCGGGGGACCGAAAGGCCUCGCGCUGCGGGAGCGGCCGAUGUCCGAUUAGCUAGUUGGUGGGGUAAAGGCCCACCAAGGCGACGAUCGGUAGCUGGUCUGAGAGGAUGAUCAGCCACACUGGGACUGAGACACGGCCCAGACUCCUACGGGAGGCAGCAGUGGGGAAUUUUGGACAAUGGGGGCAACCCUGAUCCAGCCAUGCCGCGUGAGUGAAGAAGGCCUUCGGGUUGUAAAGCUCUUUCGGACGGAACGAAAUCGCUCGCGUGAAUAACGCGGGUGGAUGACGGUACUGUAAGAAGAAGCACCGGCUAACUACGUGCCAGCCGCCGCCGUAA
rnacentral:rRNA from 1 species